rnacentral:tRNA from 1 species
GUCCUGGUAGCUCAGUUGGUAGAGCGCACGGCUGUUAACCGUGAAGUCGUAGGUUCGAGUCCUACCCGGGACG